rnacentral:lncRNA from 1 species
UCACCCUCUCAAGCAACAGUCCAAGCUGUACCUUGGCCCAUUUUAGCUAUGGCUGGAGUAAGUGAAACACAGGGUACCAAGACCCUAGGCUGCACAGAGCAGGAGUCCCGAGGCUCUAAGAACAAAUCAGCUUUUUUACCCUAACAUCUAUAUGUGAUCCAUUGUUAAUAUUUUAAUGUUUCCUUUCAUACACACAAUACAUACACACAUAUAUAUGUAUAUUACAUAUGUAGUGCUGAGCUCACUACAGUUGUACACAGCAGCCAAGGAGCAUUUUUCAAGGUUAAACAAUUCAACUACUUAGGACGUUUGUCUAGGGAGAUGUUGAUGUGUGGAUGAGUUUAAUCUUAUUAAUGCUCCACAUGGGUAUUCUAAGGCUGAGUCAAGGCAUUUUUCUAACAUAACAUGACAGCAUUAAAUGAUCCAUUUCUAGUGUGUUUUUAUUCCACACCACACAUUUGUAGACCUAGGACUACAAACAUUAUCUAUGUCAUUAUAAUCACAUUUUUUGGUCCUUUCUAACUCAUCUAUAACGGAAUACUACAGACUGGGUCAUUUAUAAAAAACAAACGUUUAUGUGGCUCACAGUUCUGGAGGCUGGGAAGUCCAAGGGCAUGGCACUGGCAUCCAGCAAGGGUCAUCCCAUGGCAGAAGUAUGGAAGGCAGAAGUAAGUCCAUGAGUCAGAGAGAAACAUUGAUCUGAACUAAUCCUUUUUAUCAAGAACACACUCCUUCAAUAACUAACCUAUUCCUGUGAUAACAGCAGUAAUCUCUUCAAGAGGGUAGAGCCCUCAUGGCCUAAUCACCUCUUAAAUGCCCCACCUCUUAAUACUGUUACAAUGACAAUUAAAUUUCAGCAUG